GGAACACCGGUGCGAAUCCGGGACGGUCCCGCCACUGUGUCGCCUCUCGGGCGAAGUCAGAC
rnacentral:ncRNA from 1 species